rnacentral:rRNA from 1 species
ACGCUGGCGGCGUGCCUAAUACAUGCAAGUAGAACGCUGAAAGAGGAGCUUGCUUCUCUGGAUGAGUUGCGAACGGGUGAGUAACGCGUAGGUAACCUGCCUGGUAGCGGGGGAUAACUAUUGGAAACGAUAGCUAAUACCGCAUAAGAGUAGAUGUUGCAUGACAUUUGCUUAAAAGGUGCAAUUGCAUCACUACCAGAUGGACCUGCGUUGUAUUAGCUAGUUGGUGGGGUAACGGCUCACCAAGGCGACGAUACAUAGCCGACCUGAGAGGGUGAUCGGCCACACUGGGACUGAGACACGGCCCAGACUCCUACGGGAGGCAGCAGUAGGGAAUCUUCGGCAAUGGACGGAAGUCUGACCGAGCAACGCCGCGUGAGUGAAGAAGGUUUUCGGAUCGUAAAGCUCUGUUGUAAGAGAAGAACGAGUGUGAGAGUGGAAAGUUCACACUGUGACGGUAUCUUACCAGAAAGGGACGGCUAACUACGUGCCAGCAGCCGCGGUAAUACGUAGGUCCCGAGCGUUGUCCGGAUUUAUUGGGCGUAAAGCGAGCGCAGGCGGUUAGAUAAGUCUGAAGUUAAAGGCUGUGGCUUAACCAUAGUACGCUUUGGAAACUGUUUAACUUGAGUGCAAGAGGGGAGAGUGGAAUUCCAUGUGUAGCGGUGAAAUGCGUAGAUAUAUGGAGGAACACCGGUGGCGAAAGCGGCUCUCUGGCUUGUAACUGACGCUGAGGCUCGAAAGCGUGGGGAGCAAACAGGAUUAGAUACCCUGAUAGUCCACGCCGUAAACGAUGAGUGCUAGGUGUUAGACCCUUUCCGGGGUUUAGUGCCGCAGCUAACGCAUUAAGCACUCCGCCUGGGGAGUACGACCGCAAGGUUGAAACUCAAAGGAAUUGACGGGGGCCCG